AGUGAACGCUGGCGGUAGGCCUAACACAUGCAAGUCGAACGGCAGCACAGUAAGAUCUUGCUCUUACGGGUGGCGAGUGGCGGACGGGUGACGAAUACAUCGGAAUCUACUUUUUCGUGGGGGAUAACGUAGGGAAACUUACGCUAAUACCGCAUACGUUCUACGGGUGAAAGCAGGGGAUCUUCGGACCUUUCGCGAUUCAUUGAGCCGGUUUCGGAUUAGCUAGUUGGCGGGGUAAAGGCCCACCAAGGCGACGAUACGUAGCUGGUCUGAGAGGAUGAUCAGCCACACUGGAACUGAGACACGGUCCAGACUCCUACGGGAGGCAGCAGUGGGGAAUAUUGGGCAAUGGGCGCAAGCCUGACCCAGCCAUGCCGCGUGAGUGAAGAAGGCCUUCGGGUUGUAAAGCCCUUUUAUUGGGAAAGAAAAGCAGCGGGAUUAUACCCCGCUGUCCUGACGGUACCCAAAGAGUAAGCACCGGCUAACUUCGUG
rnacentral:rRNA from 1 species